GUGAUCGCUUUGGCAGCACAUACACUAAAAUUGGAACGAUACAGAGAUUAGCAUGGCCCGUGUGCAAGGAUGACAUGCAAAUUUGUGAAGCAUUCCAUAUUUUU